UACGGAGGGGGCUAGCGUUGUUCGGAAUUACUGGGCGUAAAGCGCACGUAGGCGGUUAUUCAAGUCAGAGGUGAAAGCCUGGAGCUCAACUCCAGAACUGCCUUUGAAACUAGAUAGCUAGAAUCAUGGAGAGGCGGGUGGAAUUCCGAGUGUAGAGGUGAAAUUCGUAGAUAUUCGGAAGAACACCAGUGGCGAAGGCGGCCCGCUGGACAUGUAUUGACGCUGAGGUGCGAAAGCGUGGGGAGCAAACAGG
rnacentral:rRNA from 1 species